rnacentral:lncRNA from 1 species
CACUGGUCACAAGGAACCUGGUUCACUUGCUAGGGCUGCUGCAACAAGAUACCACGUGAGGCGGUUUGAGCAACAGGAAUUUAUUGUCUUACAGUUCUGGAGGCCAGAAGUCCAAGAUUAGGGUACCAUCAGGGCCAUGCUCCCUUUGAAAAUGCUAGAGAAGGAUCUGUCCAGUACUCUCUUCUUAGCUUCUGGCAGGUCCUUAGCCUAGGGCGGCACAACUCCUAACUUCACAGGGUAUUCUUCCUGUGCAUUGUGUCUGUCUCCAAAUUUCCCUUUUAUAUAAUGGCAUUGAGUUGUACUGGAUUGUGGAUAUCAUGUUAAGUCAUUACAUCUGCAACAGCCCUAUUUCCAAAUUAGGCCAAAUUCUGAGAUACUAGGGAUUAGGACUUCUACAUUAUAUUUGGAUUAUACAAUUCAACCCAUUCCACAGGAGAAACUACAUUAAUGUCAGGGAAGAGCAAGGAAAAUUAUCAGAGGUAAAGAGGAGAUUUGCAUAAUAAUAAAGGGGUGAAUUAUUCAAGAAGACAUAAUAAUCCUUAAUGUGUAUGUACCUACCAACAGAACAUCAAAAU